GUCUAUAGGUCUACUUCUAUGUGUAAUCAGGGCCAGGUAGUCUAUAGGUCUACUUCUAUGUGUAAUCAGGUAGUCUAUAGGUCUACUUCUAUGUGUAAUCAGGUAGUCUAUAGGUCUACUUCUAUGUGUAAUCAGGUAGUCUAUAGGUCUACUUCUAUGUGUAAUCAGGUAGUCUAUAGGUCUACUUCUAUGUGUAAUCAGGUAGUCUAUAGGUCUACUUCUAUGUGUAAUCAGGUAGUCUAUAGGUCUACUUCUAUGUGUAAUCAGGUAGUCUAUAGGUCUACUUCUAUGUGUAAUCAGGUAGUCUAUAGGUCUACUUCUAUGUGUAAUCAGGUAGUCUAUAGGUCUACUUCUAUGUGUAAUCAGGUAGUCUAUAGGUCUACUUCUAUGUGUAAUCAGGUAGUCUAUAGGUCUACUUCUAUGUGUAAUCAGGGCCAUGUGGUCUAUAGGUCUACUUCUAUGUGUAAUCAGGUAGUCUAUAGGUCUACUUCUAUGUGUAAUCAGGUAGUCUAUAGGUCUACUUCUAUGUGUAAUCAGGUAGUCUAUAGGUCUACUUCUAUGUGUAAUCAGGUAGUCUAUAGGUCUACUUCUGUGUAAUCAGGGCCAGGUAGUCUAUAGGUCUACUUCUAUGUGUAAUCAGGUAGUCUAUAGGUCUACUUCUAUGUGUAAUCAGGUAGUCUAUAGGUCUACUUCUAUGUGUAAUCAGGUAGUCUAUAGGUAUACUUCUAUGUGUAAUCAGGUAGUCUAUAGGUCUACUUCUGUGUAAUCAGGGCCAGGUAGUCUAUAGGUCUACUUCUAUGUGUAAUCAGGUAGUCUAUAGGUCUACUUCUGUGUAAUCAGGGCCAGGUAGUCUAUAGGUCUACUUCUAUGUGUAAUCAGGUAGUCUAUAGGUCUACUUCUAUGUGUAAUCAGGUAGUCUAUAGGUCUACUUCUGUGUAAUCAGGGCCAGGUAGUCUAUAGGUCUACUUCUAUGUGUAAUCAGGUAGUCUAUAGGUCUACUUCUAUGUGUAAUCAGGUAGUCUAUAGGUCUACUUCUAUGUGUAAUCAGGUAGUCUAUAGGUCUACUUCCAUGUGUAAUCAGGUAGUCUAUAGGUCUACUUCUAUGUGUAAUCAGGUAGUCUAUAGGUCUACUUCUAUGUGUAAUCAGGUAGUCUAUAGGUCUACUUCCAUGUGUAAUCAGGUAGUCUAUAGGUCUACUUCCAUGUGUAAUCAGGUAGUCUAUAGGUCUACUUCCAUGUGUAAUCAGGUAGUCUAUAGGUCUACUUCCAUGUGUAAUCAGGUAGUCUAUAGGUCUACUUCCAUGUGUAAUCAGGUAGUCUAUAGGUCUACUUCUAUGUGUAAUCAGGUAGUCUAUAGGUCUACUUCUAUGUGUAAUCAGGUAGUCUAUAGGUCUAC